UACGUAGGUGGCAAGCGUUGUCCGGAAUUAUUGGGCGUAAAGCGCGCGCAGGCGGUCUCUUAAGUCUGAUGUGAAAGCCCCCGGCUCAACCGGGGAGGGUCAUUGGAAACUGGGAGACUUGAGUACAGAAGAGGAGAGUGGAAUUCCACGUGUAGCGGUGAAAUGCGUAGAUAUGUGGAGGAACACCAGUGGCGAAGGCGACUCUCUGGUCUGUAACUGACGCUGAGGCGCGAAAGCGUGGGGAGCAAACAGG
rnacentral:rRNA from 1 species